AUGCGGCCCGGUGAGAGCUUAGAGGGCUCGAGCUCGGCUCACGGAAGAUGUAUUGAUGCUAAUAAUAUUACUAAUAGCGGCACGGAACGCUGUCUCGCGCACCUCUCGUCGGCUACGAGGAGGAUGAAGAGGGUGACGACGAAGAGGAGGAUGAGGGGGACGAACGAGAGGAUGAGGGACGGAGGAAUGACGGCGAUGCGCUGUUUUCUGUGGAGUCUCGUUCUCUGCUCGCUCUCAUCGCGCGCCCAAGCUGGGAACACGUUUUAUUCCCUGCAACACAAAUUGCCACCCAAAUGUUGUGGGGUUUUUUUUUUUUUUAAUUGCUGGAGCCAAAUCUGUUCUUGUAUUUCAGAUCUCUGCCUGGUAUGCUUUUAAAAAUGUCAGAUUGCACAUAUUGAGCUGUCUCUGCUAUCAACAGGCUUGUUAAAUUGAAAGAAGUGAUAAUUUUGCCAUGCAAAUUGGAAUAAAAAGGGAGACUGCACUCUGGUUAGCUCUUCCAGCUGUUUUAGGGUCUUGUGGCUCCUUAACAGCUUUAUAUAUACAAUUCCCGUUUUCCUCCAAGGUCCGUUAUGAAUACUCAUUGACAGAAUGGUGACACAAGUGUAACAAGUUCAAUCAUAAAUCACUGUAAUUAAACUGAAAGGUAUGGCAGCUUCCUGUAGAAGUGAUCAGUGAAUAUAAUGUUAACAAACCAUCAGAAGAAAUAGUCUAGGAAGUGAUGUUUUUAAUUUACCUGAGAGUUUUACUUUUUUUCAAAUUAGAAAAAAAAUGCGAUUAAAGGGCAAUCAAAUUGGAGAAAUCUCUGCUUCUCUAAUAAUUAACGGAGGAGGUUCAGAAGAUAUGAGAUUUCCACACAAACCUGGCACAGACACACACACUGCAGCCUCUUCAUUAUUUCAAAGAUGACUCGAAGUAGACAUGACAUGAACAUGUUGAGUAGGCUAGAGCAGGCACGCAUACACACAUACACAGGAACUUAUAAAUACACAAAAAAAUAUUGGGCACACCGAGAUAGCAUGUGUUACCCUAAGGGUGUGAGUGCAAACACACAAGCGUGCACGCACAGGGACGCGCAGGCAUAGGAGGUAGACGCAUGCACACACACACACACACACACACACACUCUGAUGCGUUACGAGAAAGGCAGAUGAGAAAUUAACAAAGACAGACAGUCUCAGAUCCAGCUGGUGCUCCUUCUCGGUGUGUGUGUGUGUGUCUGUGUGAUCUGCUUUAAUCUAUGUAAAGAAACAUGCAAUAUUGGUAUGGUAAAAGGACAUAUUUCGUUAAAGAUGGAUGCUUGAAGGAACAUGGGAAAUGGCAUUGGAGAAGGAUAGACGUGUGGAUGCAUAAACAGCAAAGUCGGUCAAAGGUUCAGUCCUUGGUGACAGCCAGAGUGUGUCCCUCUCAGACAGUCCUUGAGGAGGAUACUGAUUCCCUUAAUGACUGUUCUCUCUGUGGAAAGUACAUACAAUAGCUGACAUGAAAUUUCAACAAGAAAAAAUAG
rnacentral:lncRNA from 1 species